UACGAAGGGGGCUAGCGUUGUUCGGAAUUACUGGGCGUAAAGGGUUUGUAGGCGGUUAUACAAGUCAGUGGUGAAAGCCCAGGGCUCAACCCUGGAAUUGCCAUUGAAACUGUAUAGCUAGAGAGUGUUAGAGGAAAGUGGAAUGGCUAGUGUAGGAGUGAAAUCCGUAGAGAUUAGUCGGAAUAUCGAUGGCGAAGGCAGCUUUCUGGGACAUUUCUGACGCUGAGAAACGAAAGCGUGGGUAGCAAACAGG
rnacentral:rRNA from 1 species